UAAAUUAUACUUAAUUAAACAUUUUGUAUUUUUUUAUAGACUAAAACAUUUUCAUAUUUUUUUAAGAAUUAUGAAUCAAACACCAAUUAAAAUGUAACUUUAUAAACAUUUUGUAUUUUUUUAUAGACUAAAACAUUUUCAUAUUUUUUUAAGAAUUAUGAAUCAAACACCAAUUAAAAUGUAACUUUAACUGUGGAAUCCAAGUGCACCUUCAGUAAGUAAAAAAAAACAUAUCAUGCUCUUCAAUUGAUUUAUACAGCAUCUCAUUUUCUCUUGUUCUCAAAUUGGACCCCUCAACCAAUCAUCCAUCGACACCUGGCCAAAUACAAAUAUUAAAUAAUGCAAAAUUAAUAGAAACAAAUAUUUCCUCAAAUAUGCAUGUGAUGGAAAAAGGGGAUUUUUUUUUAAAAAUAAUCAUGUUUUUUAAAAAAAAUACGAAAAUAAUCAACUUUUCAAAAAAAAAUCCAAAAUAACCAUGUUUGGGGAGGAUGCGCCGGGGGAGUUGGCGCACCCCCCAAAAAAUAAGAGGAGGCGCCAGAUGCAUUGGGCAAUAUGAAGAGGCGCCAAUGCUUGUGGCGCCUCUACAUGGCCCUCCAAGAGAAAGGGCCAAUACUGGCGCCUAUGUGUCUCUUUUGAAAAGAAAAUUUAAUUUUCCAGACAACAAGAAUCAAACACACAACCUUUGGAUCAAUAGUGAAACACGUUACCAUUGCACCACAAACCCUUCAUGUUAAUUUGUUUCAUCAUAUAUUUAAUAUACCGUGUAUAAUUACUUAAAAGGAGAUAUCCUAAUUUUUAAACUAAUUAAUUUCAAAUUAACCCAAUUAUUCCCAAUUAUGCUAAUUAAUUACUAAUUUAAAUUAUACUUAAUUAAACAUUUUGUAUUUUUUUAUAGACUAAAACAUUUUCAUAUUUUUUUAAGAAUUAUGAAUCAAACACCAAUUAAAAUGUAACUUUAUAAACAUUUUGUAUUUUUUUAUAGACUAAAACAUUUUCAUAUUUUUUUAAGAAUUAUGAAUCAAACACCAAUUAAAAUGUAACUUUAACUGUGGAAUCCAAGUGCACCUUCAGUAAGUAAAAAAAAAAACAUAUCAUGCUCUUCAAUUGAUUUAUACAGCAUCUCAUUUUCUCUUGUUCUCAAAUUGGACCCCUCAACCAAUCAUCCAUCGAC
rnacentral:lncRNA from 1 species